UCCCUGGUGGUCCAGUGGUUAAGAUACUGUACUUCCACUGCAGGGGGCAUGGGUUCAAUCCCUGGUCAGGAAA
rnacentral:tRNA from 1 species